AACGCUAGCUACAGGCUUAACACAUGCAAGUCGAGGGGCAGCAUGGUCUUAGCUUGCUAAGGCCGAUGGCGACCGGCGCACGGGUGAGUAACACGUAUCCAACCUGCCGUCUACUCUUGGACAGCCUUCUGAAAGGAAGAUUAAUACAAGAUGGCAUCAUGAGUUCACAUGUUCACAUGAUUAAAGGUAUUCCGGUAGACGAUGGGGAUGCGUUCCAUUAGAUAGUAGGCGGGGUAACGGCCCACCUAGUCUUCGAUGGAUAGGGGUUCUGAGAGGAAGGUCCCCCACAUUGGAACUGAGACACGGUCCAAACUCCUACGGGAGGCAGCAGUGAGGAAUAUUGGUCAAUGGGCGAGAGCCUGAACCAGCCAAGUAGCGUGGAGGAUGACUGCCCUAUGGGUUGUAAACUUCUUUUAUAAAGGAAUAAAGUCGGGUAUGGAUACCCGUUUGCAUGUACUUUAUGAAUAAGGAUCGGCUAACUCCGUGCCAGCAGCCGCGGUAAUACGGAGGAUCCGAGCGUUAUCCGGAUUUAUUGGGUUUAAAGGGAGCGUAGAUGGAUGUUUAAGUCAGUUGUGAAAGUUUGCGGCUCAACCGUAAAAUUGCAGUUGAUACUGGAUAUCUUGAGUGCAGUUGAGGCAGGCGGAAUUCGUGGUGUAGCGGUGAAUGCUUAGAUAUCACGAAGAACUCCGAUUG
rnacentral:rRNA from 1 species